UACAGAGGUCUCAAGCGUUGUUCGGAUUCAUUGGGCGUAAAGGGUGCGUAGGCGGCGCGGUAAGUCGGGUGUGAAAUCUCGGAGCUUAACUCCGAAACUGCAUUCGAUACUGCCGUGCUUGAGGACUGGAGAGGAGACUGGAAUUUACGGUGUAGCGGUGAAAUGCGUAGAUAUCGUAAGGAAGACCAGUGGCGAAGGCGGGUCUCUGGACAGUUCCUGACGCUGAGGUGCGAAAGCUAGGGGAGCAAACAGG
rnacentral:rRNA from 1 species